AUUAAGACAUUAACUGUUGAUCCAAUUUAUACUGCCAUUUGAUCCCAUAAGUGCUAUACAGGACUCGGUUACUCAUGGAAAAUAGCUCCUGCCAGAUCAAACACUCUCAGGGCCAAAGUCACAAGAUUCUGACUUUACAUGCUCUGUUCUGCCUCCUUUCAUUUUGCCUCUUGGAUUGUCAUGAACUUCCCGAGCAAGGAGGCCAUCCACCAUGUAGCGUAAUGUCUUGCUAAGAGAAAUUAGUAUUCAGUCUGCUCAGGUUCCAGCAAAGACUUUCUUUAUGAAGCUCUUCAAGUGGAAUCGAGCAGCCUUGCCCAUAAAGUCUUUCCUGUGGCUUCACUGAGAAAUUCGAUUAAGUAUUCCAAUACUGCUCUGAAACAAAGUGAUCCAAUUCAGGUGAGGUAAUUUGUCUUGCAAGCAUAGCCCAUCUGUAUUCUUUACACUAAGGCAAGAGGCAAGCAGAAGACAGAGAGAAAGAAAGACGCUUUCCGGGAAAAGAAACCCCCUUUUCAGUCUGCCCAGGCAAAAGUGGAUUUACUCUGAGGAUUCACUUCAAGGGUGAAGCUUUAGGAGUCCUUCACUUGCUCUGGUUUCAUAAAUAUUCACCUUCUUACAUACA